rnacentral:rRNA from 1 species
AUGGCCGCCGCCGCCCGCCGCCUCCUCCUCCUCCUGGCCGUGUCCCUCGCCGCCCUCGCCGCCGCCCGCGCCCACAACAUCACGGACAUCCUCGACGGCUACUCCGAGUACUCGCUCUACAACAACUACCUUUCCCAGACCAAGGUCUGCGACGAGAUCAACGGCCGCAGCACGGUGACCUGCCUCGUGCUCACCAACGGCGCCAUGUCCUCCCUCGUCGCCAACCUCUCCCUCGCCGACGUCAAGAACGCGCUCCGCCUGCUCACCCUCCUCGACUACUACGACCCCAAGAAGCUGCACUCGCUCCACGGCGGCUCCGAGCUCACCACCACGCUCUACCAGACCACCGGCGACGCCUCCGGGGACAUGGGCCACGUCAACAUCACCAACCUCCGCGGCGGCAAGGUCGGCUUCGCCUCCGCCGAGCCCGGCUCCAAGUUCCAGGCCACCUACACCAAGUCCGUCAAGGAGGAGCCGUACAACCUCUCCGUCCUCGAGGUCUCCGACCCCAUCACCUUCCCGGGCCUCUUCACCUCCCCGUCCGCCGCCUCCACCAACCUCACCGCGCUCCUCGAGAAGGCCGGCUGCAAGCGCUUCGCGCGCCUCAUCGUGUCGUCCGGGGUCGUCAAGACGUACCAGGCGGCCAUGGACAAGGGGCUCACCCUGUUCGCGCCCACCGACGACGCGUUCCAGGCCAAGGGCCUGCCGGAUCUGGGCAAGCUCACCAGCGCCGACCUCGUGGCGCUGCUGGAGUACCACGCCUUGCCGCAGUACGCGCCCAAGGCGUCGCUCAAGACCAUGAAGGGCGGCAUCCCGACCCUGGCCUCCACCGGCAAGGGGAAGUACGACCUCUCCGUGGUUGCCAAGGGCGACGACGUGUCCAUGGACACCGGCAUGGACAAGUCCCGCGUCGCGUCCACGGUGCUCGACGACACCCCGGUGACCGUGCACACGGUGGACAGCGUGCUGCUGCCGCCGGAGCUCUUCGGCGGCGCGCCGUCGCCGGCACCCGGAGCGUCGGUCGAUGCACCUGCGUCGGCCCCUGCACCAGAAACCUCCUCCGCGCCGGCGCCCUCGCCCAAGACCGACAAGACGAAACCGAAGCACAAGUCGCCAGCGCAUUCCCCGCCCGCGCCGCCGGCUGAUACGCCUGACACGGCCCCCGCCGAGUCGCCGGACGGAGACGAGGAGGCGGACAAGGCCGACAACAAGAACGGCGCGACCGCGGUGGGCAUGGGCAUUGCGGCCAUGGUGGCCUCUGUCGCUCUGGUCGGCGCGACACUCCUCUGA